rnacentral:tmRNA from 1 species
GGGACUGCUAUGGUAUUGACGUUAAUCAAGAUAUAUUUUAUGAUGCAAGUCGAGAGAUAAAACUCUCGUUAAUCAAAUAUAAAAUUAAAUGCAAACAAUAUUAUUAAAUUCUCUAGAGCUUUAGUCUUAACGGCAUAAGUACUGUUAUUUUGAGUAAUAGAUAAAUCAUAAUUCAUAAUACUUAUUUUUUAUUCUAAGUAAGUUUUACUUACUAAACUUGUGAAUGAGUAAAAUAUAUCUGAUUAACGGACGUGGGUUCGACCCCCACCAGUUCCA